UACAGAGGGUGCGAGCGUUGUCCGAAAUCACUGGGCGUAAAGGGCGCGUAGGUGGCGCGACAAGUCAGUGGUGAAAGUUCGACGCUCAACGUCGAAUCGGCCACUGAUACUGUUGGGCUUGAGCACUGUAGAGGCUAAUGGAAUUCCGGGUGUAGCGGUGGAAUGCGUAGAGAUCCGGAAGAACACCGGUGGCGAAGGCGGGUCUCUGGGCCGAUACUGACGCUGAGGAGCGAAAGCGUGGGGAGCGAACAGG
rnacentral:rRNA from 1 species